AUGGCCGACGGCGAGGACAUCCAGCCGCUGGUGUGCGACAACGGGACAGGUAUGGUGAAGGCCGGGUUCGCCGGCGACGACGCGCCCCGGGCGGUGUUCCCCAGCAUCGUGGGGCGGCCGCGGCACACGGGGGUCAUGGUGGGCAUGGGGCAGAAGGACGCGUACGUGGGCGACGAGGCGCAGUCCAAGCGUGGUAUCCUCACCCUCAAGUACCCCAUCGAGCACGGCAUCGUCUCCAACUGGGACGACAUGGAAAAGAUCUGGCAUCACACCUUCUACAACGAGCUCCGCGUGGCCCCCGAGGAGCAUCCCGUCCUGCUCACCGAGGCGCCCCUCAACCCCAAGGCCAACCGUGAGAAGAUGACCCAGAUCAUGUUCGAGACCUUCAACACCCCCGCCAUGUACGUCGCCAUCCAGGCCGUGCUCUCCCUCUACGCCUCCGGGCGAACCACCGGUAUCGUGCUCGACUCCGGUGACGGUGUGAGCCACACGGUGCCCAUCUACGAGGGGUACGCGCUGCCCCACGCCAUCCUCCGUCUCGACCUCGCCGGACGCGACCUCACCGACCACCUCAUGAAGAUCCUCACGGAGCGCGGCUACUCCUUCACCACCACGGCGGAGCGCGAAAUCGUCCGCGACAUGAAGGAGAAGCUCUCCUACAUCGCCCUCGACUACGACCAGGAGAUGGAGACCUCCAAGACCAGCUCCUCCGUGGAGAAGAGCUACGAGCUGCCCGACGGCCAGGUCAUCACCAUCGGCGCCGAGCGCUUCCGCUGCCCGGAGGUGCUCUUCCAGCCAUCCUUCAUCGGGAUGGAAGCCGCGGGGAUCCACGAGACCACCUACAACUCCAUCAUGAAGUGUGAUGUGGACAUCAGGAAGGACCUCUACGGCAACAUCGUCCUCAGUGGUGGCACCACCAUGUUCACCGGCAUCGCCGACAGGAUGAGCAAGGAGAUCACCGCCCUCGCGCCCAGCUCCAUGAAGAUCAAGGUCGUCGCCCCGCCCGAGAGGAAGUACAGUGUGUGGAUCGGAGGCUCCAUCCUCGCCUCCCUCAGCACCUUCCAGCAGAUGUGGAUCGCCAAGGCCGAGUACGACGAAUCCGGACCAUCCAUCGUCCACCGGAAAUGCUUCUAG
rnacentral:rRNA from 1 species